GACGAACGCUGGCGGCGUGCUUAACACAUGCAAGUCGAACGGAAAGGCCCUGCUUUUGUGGGGUGCUCGAGUGGCGAACGGGUGAGUAACACGUGAGUAACCUGCCCUUGACUUUGGGAUAACUUCAGGAAACUGGGGCUAAUACCGGAUAGGAGCUCCUGCUGCAUGGUGGGGGUUGGAAAGUUUCGGCGGUUGGGGAUGGACUCGCGGCUUAUCAGCUUGUUGGUGGGGUAGUGGCUUACCAAGGCUUUGACGGGUAGCCGGCCUGAGAGGGUGACCGGCCACAUUGGGACUGAGAUACGGCCCAGACUCCUACGGGAGGCAGCAGUGGGGAAUAUUGCACAAUGGGCGGAAGCCUGAUGCAGCAACGCCGCGUGCGGGAUGACGGCCUUCGGGUUGUAAACCGCUUUCGCCUGUGACGAAGCGUGAGUGACGGUAAUGGGUAAAGAAGCACCGGCUAACUACGUGCCAGCAGCCGCGGUGAUACGUAGGGUGCGAGCGUUGUCCGGAUUUAUUGGGCGUAAAGGGCUCGUAGGUGGUUGAUCGCGUCGGAAGUGUAAUCUUGGGGCUUAACCCUGAGCGUGCUUUCGAUACGGGUUGACUUGAGGAAGGUAGGGGAGAAUGGAGUUCCUGGUGGAGCGGUGGAAUGCGCAGAUAUCAGGAGGAACACCAGUGGCGAAGGCGGUUCUCUGGGCCUUUCCUGACGCUGAGGAGCGAAAGCGUGGGGAGCGAACAGGCUUAGAUACCCUGGUAGUCCACGCUGUAAACGGUGGGUACUAGGUGUGGGGUCCAUUCCACGGGUUCCGUGCCGUAGCUAACGCUUUAAGUACCCCGCCUGGGGAGUACGGCCGCAAGGCUAAAACUCAAAGGAAUUGACGGGGCCCCGCACAAGCGGCGGAGCAUGCGGAUUAAUUCGAUGCAACGCGUAGAACCUUACCUGGGUUUGACAUGGAUCGGGAGUGCUCAGAGAUGGGUGUGCCUCUUUUGGGGUCGGUUCACAGGUGGUGCAUGGCUGUCGUCAGCUCGUGUCGUGAGAUGUUGGGUUAAGUCCCGCAACGAGCGCAACCCUUGUUCACUGUUGCCAGCACGUUAUGGUGGGGACUCAGUGGAGACCGCCGGGGUCAACUCGGAGGAAGGUGGGGAUGACGUCAAGUCAUCAUGCCCCUUAUGUCCAGGGCUUCACGCAUGCUACAAUGGCUGGUACAGAGAGUGGCGAGCCUGUGAGGGUGAGCGAAUCUCGGAAAGCCGGUCUCAGUUCGGAUUGGGGUCUGCAACUCGACCUCAUGAAGUCGGAGUCGCUAGUAAUCGCAGAUCAGCAACGCUGCGGUGAAUACGUUCCCGGGGCUUGUACACACCGCCCGUCAAGUCAUGAAAGUUGGUAACACCCGAAGCCGGUGGCCUAACCGUUGUGGGGGAGCCGUCGAAGGUGGGACUGGUGAUUAGG
rnacentral:rRNA from 1 species